rnacentral:rRNA from 1 species
UACGAAGGGGGGCUAGCGUUGUUCGGAAUUACUGGGCGUAAAGCGCGCGCAGGCGGCUAUCCAAGUCAGUGGUGAAAGCCCGGAGCUCAACUCCGGAACUGCCAUUGAAACUGUUUAGCUUGGGGACGAGAGAGGUGAGUGGAAUUCCCAGUGUAGAGGUGAAAUUCGUAGAUAUUGGGAAGAACACCGGUGGCGAAGGCGGCUCACUGGCUCGUUUCUGACGCUCAGGCGCGACAGCGUGGGGAUCAAACAGG